rnacentral:rRNA from 1 species
CAGCAGUGGGGAAUCUUCCGCAAUGGACGAAAGUCUGACGGAGCAACGCCGCGUGAGUGAUGACGGUCUUCGGGUUGUAAAGCUCUGUUAAUCGGGACGAAUGGUUCUUGUGCGAAUAGUGCGAGGAUUUGACGGUACCGGAAUAGAAAGCCACGGCUAACUACGUGCCAGCAGCCGCGGUAAUACGUAGGUGGCAAGCGUUGUCCGGAAUUAUUGGGCGUAAAGCGCGCGCAGGCGGAUUGGUCAGUCUGUCUUAAAAGUUCGGGGCUUAACCCCGUGAUGGGAUGGAAACUGCCAAUCUAGAGUAUCGGAGAGGAAAGUGGAAUUCCUAGUGUAGCGGUGAAAUGCGUAGAUAUUAGGAAGAACACCAGUGGCGAAGGCGACUUUCUGGACGAAAACUGACGCUGAGGCGCGAAAGCCAGGGGAGCGAACGGGAUUAGA